UUAAUCCUGAUGUGUUCGUCUGAAUAAAGUGUUUGACCGAACAACUGAUUAUUUGGGAGCUCGUUUCGUUUCUGUGUUGCGUGCAGGCCUCCCCCUUGUGGGAGGAAGCAUAAUAUAUGCAGAACAGAGCACCCACCUGCUAUGAGCGGGAUCAAAACUUGUUACCGGACGGCACAAUCGGGAUUACU
rfam:Oceanobacillus picturae, S1, WGS project CCAX01000000 data, contig: 000001